CACGUGGGUAACCUGCCUGUAAGACUGGGAUAACUCCCGGAAACCGGGGCUAAUACCGGAUGGUUGUUUGAACCGCAUGGUUCAGACAUAAAAGGUGGCUUCGGCUACCACUUACAGAUGGACCCGCGGCGCAUUAGCUAGUUGGUGAGGUAACGGCUCACCAAGGCAACGAUGCGUAGCCGACCUGAGAGGGUGAUCGGCCACACUGGGACUGAGACACGGCCCAGACUCCUACGGGAGGCAGCAGUAGGGAAUCUUCCGCAAUGGACGAAAGUCUGACGGAGCAACGCCGCGUGAGUGAUGAAGGUUUUCGGAUCGUAAAGCUCUGUUGUUAGGGAAGAACAAGUGCCGUUCAAAUAGGGCGGCACCUUGACGGUACCUAACCAGAAAGCCACGGCUAACUACGUGCCAGCAGCCGCGGUAAUACGUAGGUGGCAAGCGUUGUCCGGAAUUAUUGGGCGUAAAGGGCUCGCAGGCGGUUUCUUAAGUCUGAUGUGAAAGCCCCCGGCUCAACCGGGGAGGGUCAUUGGAAACUGGGGAACUUGAGUGCAGAAGAGGAGAGUGGAAUUCCACGUGUAGCGGUGAAAUGCGUAGAGAUGUGGAGGAACACCAGUGGCGAAGGCGACUCUCUGGUCUGUAACUGACGCUGAGGAGCGAAAGCGUGGGGAGCGAACAGGAUUAGAUACCCUGGUAGUCCACGCCGUAAACGAUGAGUGCUAAGUGUUAGGGGGUUUCCGCCCCUUAGUGCUGCAGCUAACGCAUUAAGCACUCCGCCUGGGGAGUACGGUCGCAAGACUGAAACUCAAAGGAAUUGACGGGGGCCCGCACAAGCGGUGGAGCAUGUGGUUUAAUUCGAACCAACGCCAAGAACCUUACCAGGUCUUGACAUCCUCUGACAAUCCUAGAGAUAGGACGUCCCCUUCGGGGGCAGAGUGACAGGUGGUGCAUGGUUGUCGUCAGCUCGUGUCGUGAGAUGUUGGGUUAAGUCCCGCAACGAGCGCAACCCUUGAUCUUAGUUGCCAGCAUUCAGUUGGGCACUCUAAGGUGACUGCCGGUGACAAACCGGAGGAAGGUGGGGAUGACGUCAAAUCAUCAUGCCCCUUAUGACCUGGGCUACACACGUGCUACAAUGGACAGAACAAAGGGCAGCGAAACCGCGAGGUUAAGCCAAUCCCACAAAUCUGUUCUCAGUUCGGAUCGCAGUCUGCAACUCGACUGCGUGAAGCUGGAAUCGCUAGUAAUCGCGGAUCAGCAUGCCGCGGUGNNNNNNNNCCCGGGCCUUGUACACACCGCCCAUCGCACCACGAGAGUUUGUAACACCCGAAGUCGGUGAGGUAACC
rnacentral:rRNA from 1 species